UACGGAGGGGGCUAGCGUUGUUCGGAAUUACUGGGCGUAAAGCGCGCGUAGGCGGACCUGCAAGUCGGGGGUGAAAGCCCGAGGCUCAACCUCGGAACUGCCUUCGAUACUGCGGGUCUCGAGUCCGGGAGAGGUGAGUGGAAUUCCUAGUGUAGAGGUGAAAUUCGUAGAUAUUAGGAAAGAACACCAGUGGCGAAGGCGGCUCACUGGCCCCGAUACUGACGCUGAG
rnacentral:rRNA from 1 species